rnacentral:sRNA from 1 species
CUUUUCCCAGAUACCACUCAAUGAGUGGUCCCGUCGUAGUGCCUAAUUGGCAGGGAAUCUUGACAGAGUGAUGGAAUGAUGCCAUCCACGCAGUAAAGCUACACCUGGGUGCGUCUGAUGUCUCGU